rnacentral:lncRNA from 1 species
CAUACAAUCACAGAACUGUUCUCAGCUGAACUCUGAAGCACAGGGUGUUCACUCCUGCAUCCCAUCUAGACUUGGUCUGGCACUUAAGGCUCAUUCCCAGUGUGCCCACAGUAGCUUUCUCCCUAGAGUUUAAUACUGAACGUGGAUGACUGGUCCUACCAGAGCUGGGUUGUGGAGGAAGAUUCCAGCUAGCUAAAAUUCCACUUGCAGAAGAAUGCAACAAAUUCUCUUCUACUGACUAAGUAUUAUUUUCAUAGAAUUUAGUUUUGGAGCACAUUCUGAAGUACAUAACUAAGUAGCAUAUUUAUUAUUCAUAAAAAUGGACUUACCAUUUCUGCAUUUAUAGAAAAUAGGCAAAGAUACUUAUGUACUGCAGUUGUUUAAGAAGAUUGUAAUUGUUACUGAUAUUUCUUUUAACUUCUCACCACCUCAAGUCUGUUGACUGUAUCCAGGACCACCAUCUGACAGGAUUCUACUUUUGUACAUGUUUACUUUGUUGGUGAUCUAGUCUUCUAUGCAUAUCUAUGUAUUUGUAUAUGUUUACUUUGUUGGUGAUCUAGUCUUCUAUGUAUAUCUAUGCCAUUAAUUUAAGCAACAAUUUUGUUCUCAAGAGCUGCUGAAUGUAGUCUGGCUUGAGAAAGGAUUACAUAUAAAGAUCAAGUGUGUUCUCUAUAUGCUGUCAAAUAGCAUUUGCCUCAUCCCAAAUUCUGUUAUUUACUUCCAGAACUGGAAGAGGGUAGAUUUAGACUACAUAUUAGGAAGAAAUUCUUUACUGUGAGGGUGAUGAGACACUGGAACAGGUUUCCCAGAGAAGCCGUUGAUGCUGCACCCUGGAAGCAUUCAAGGCCAGGUUGGAUGGGGCUUUGAGCAACCUGGUCUAGUGGGAGGUGAUCCUGCCUAUAGGAGGGGGGUUGGAACUACAUGAUCUUAAAGGUCUCUUCCAACCUAAACUAUUCUAUGAUUCUAUGAUUCUUUGAUUUUGUUGAUGAGAUAUAGACCAUAUUCUUGAAAAUUUAUUUUAAAUUUGUGAUUCUGUAAUUAUGUAAUUUGUCUCCAUUUGUUAAGUUUCCUCACAGACACACUAUGUCCUGUAGAAAUAAUAAUCUGUAAAUAGAGGUUGCCACAUCAAGUACAGAAAAUGUCAUAAUUGCAUGGAUUACUUCACUGUUGAUGUGAAACAAUAUUUUUAAAGUAGGCUUUUAAUACUUUUCUUUUUCUGAUAAAAAGAAAAAGAAGUAUAGAAGAAAACCAGACAUAUCAGGAAAACUGAUUCAAUGGAAGCCCUAGAGUAUCUGUCUGAAGACAGGCAUGGAAUUAGAAUCAUGGAAAGGUCCUCAUGCCUUUAACAGCCAAUUGAGCAAGACAACAAUCUAUCAUGAACCUGCAUCUCUGGUAUAACUUUUGAUGAAAACAUUGCUGUUUAAGCUGUUUAUCUUUUAUUUUGGGGGAAAUUAAUCUAUUUUCAUUUUUAUUCAGAAAAAAACCUACACAUUUGGAUUUACUCCUGUAGCAGUACAUGCAAAAUGCAAUCCAGAUACUUACUGUUACUGUCUUGAUAAUACAGAAUCCCAAGCUUGAUUUUUUAUCUGUUCAGAGGUGGGACCAUCCAAAAUAUAUAGCCAUCCAAAACAUACAUUUCUGAGGAUUAUUCUAGCCCUGGUAGUAAGAGCCAGGGUGAAAACUUUGCCAACAUAACUCACCACAGUCAGAACCACAAUCUACUCUUUUUUAGCAGUGUAGGGGAAGAGAGAUAUCUCUGCUUCUUGUUAUAAAUUAACCUUUAUCAUACUUUAAUUUUCCUGGCAUGCCUGCCUCCAACAUAACACACAAGAUGGAUAGUAAAGAGUGUGCUUUGCAGCCCUAGCAUGAAAGUAAAGAGCUCUUGGUAUUUAUUACCUCUUGCACUGCAGUAGCCGGGAAAAGACAACAUCUGCUUCUAAGCUCUCAUUAACUGCAUUUUCACUUGUGCUCUGUAUUUUUGUAUAUAGAGAAAUGAUAGGUGGCCUGUAAUUGCAACCUGCUCAGAGCAAGUAAGUCAAAUGGUAAGGUCAAAACCUUCAUUUUUUCUGUUUCUGCAGACAUCCUCAUAAUAAACAGCAGAGAGCAUUCUCAAUGCUUUGUCAGUUUUCUUGUUGCCUGUCAUUCAGGAGCCCACCGACUGCUGCAGCAGUGCAGUCUCAGAAGCUGAGGCAUACUCAUAGGAAAAAAGCAGCAAACUAAAGCACUGCACAACUCAUUUGUUACUUGCUGCUUGCUAGAGGAAUACAAUGAUGACUGAUGUAAAAAGCCCUGAUAUUCUGCACAUUUCUUAUUUAUUCUUUUAUGUAAACACAGGUGUCCUCUCCUGGUGAUACCAGCAUUCAAAGGGUGAGAACAAACACAAGACAAAUGAAAUCCAAAUAGUUGCUGUCUGUGGUGGUGUACCUUUAACCCUUACUCAGUCUAGCUUUUUAAUCACUCACAGUGGCAGAGUAUUAAAUACAAGUGCUUACUGAAGUUAAAAAAAAACAAGUGUUGCACUCUUGAUUUUUCAAACUCAGACAAGGGAUCCAAUUGCUGUCAGCACACAGUAUCUCUGUAACAAUAGAAAAGAAAGUGAUGAACAAUAUAGGAACAGGAUGAAAGUGGCUUAGAAAACAAGGAGUCUUGAUCUAAAAUAGCCUCAUGACAUUAGAGCUAUUUUUCCUGGUAUUUGUUUUUCCCAGAUAAGGCCUAGGUGCAUUUCAGGAAUCCAGGGUUGAACAAGUGAUGCGUUUUAUAAGGGCAGUUCAUCUGAUCUUGAUUCCAUGUUACAUUCACAGCACCGUUUCAGGAAGCCAUAGCAAAAGGAGACUGAGGAAGCUUCAGGUUUCCAUUCUGCCUUCUGUUACCAUUUCUCAUUCACCAUUUUGGCUUUGUAGACUUGAUUGUUUCCUCUCUUCAUCACUCUUCCCAUCAUAAAUCUGUAGCAGGAGGCUCUCUAGAGGUAGAAAAGACGUCUUUGACUACAAUGAUGGUGACAUAAACUAGUUUGUUAAUGGAAACCUGUUGUCAGUUCUGAGCAAUAGCCUAUACUGAGUAUCAGAAGAGGGUGCCACCUGAAAGAAGAAAAUACUCAGUUUAUUGAAAAAUGGCUGUUUUCUCUGACUACCUUCAGUACAUUAUUGUUCUUUCAUAUGCCUGUUUUGCAGUGAUCAUACGUAAGAUAUUGCUUAUCAACUGUCUCUUCUGCACAGUUUGCAAUGUUUAAUAUAAUAAGCUUUUGCCUAGCGAAAUUGAUCCAUGGUUGAGUAUGCACUUUACUGCUAAACACUUAUUUACAAUAAAACUCAGGGGAAAAAUAGUGCAAAACAAACAAACAAACAAAAACCUCAAACGUGACAGGCAAACAAAAUGAUGAAGACAGACACAUAUUAAAUUGCACGGUGUCAUUCUAUUUCACGUUAUACCUUUUUUCUACUGUUGAGGAAGAAUGAAAUUUUAGGUAAGAGUCCUAUGAAGCUCUACUUAUUAGAAUUUCCUAAUUCUCAAAUUACAGGAAAGUACUCAAAGUGUUUUAUUGUGACCUCCUCAGACUUUAGAAUAAAAGAUUGCUUAAAUCUGUUAUUUCUCUUUCUGUAAGGCAAGUGUGCUUCCAGUUGGAACAAGAGAUGGAACAGAAGAGCAGUGUCUGAGGUUUUCACAAAAACGAGGGCUGAGUGACAGAGCUGACUUAUCUUAAGAGGAGAUGCUGCUGCUUUGCUGAGGACCAUAAGGAGGAAAAACAACAUAAGCAAAUCAAGAUAGAAGAUUUAAUUUUUGUUGUACAUACACUGCAUUUGAAGUGAUAUCUUCCUUUGAAGACUGUUUCUACAUGUCCACAAUCACAGAACUGACAAUGAGGUAUAAUUGAUUUACAAGAGCAAUGCCAGGUUUGGCAUUUUGCAUUUCAAAAUGAAAAUUUGUGUGUUAAGUAACAGUAAUUGUACUAGCCCCUUAUCUGUCUUACCAUUCCGUAUAGAACACAAAAUCUAUCUAGAUACAUAUGUUCUGUUCUUAUUGUCUAGUCUCAACAUGUUAUGUCUUGUUUCCUUGCCCUUUGUAGUUGCCUAUUUCUUGAAUAUCACAGGCAGUUUUGGACAGGUAUUUUGUCUGGCUGUAUUUCAGGUGAGACUGCACUACAGGGUGCUCAGGGGCAUAUCGUCACCACUGUACUGGCUGGUUCCUUGGUUCCUUAGUCUACAGAUGAUCAUGCAGAAGUCGAUAUGUCCAUUUAGGAAAGUAUCUAUGAGGAAAAAAAAAAAAAAAAAGGUUAUUUUUUAUAUAAAUUACACCUAUAAUGGUCAUUGAUUUCCAUUGUCUUAAUUUCCAGGCAGAUUCUGUACGCUUUGAUCAAUGCUUCGUGAUCCUGCUUAUCUUGUAUGAAACUUUCAAACUAACCCCUUUUUUCAGUAGUCAAAGGAAGGUCCUAGAAAGUAGUAUUAAGAAAGAAAAAAAAGUCUUUCUUAAAUGGUGGGGUUCAUCUUGUCAUUGGAUGAACAAAAGGGAAAAAUAUUUCUG